UGAAAUAGUUGCAAAAUGUGCAGAACGUGCAGAAGAUACGAGAUCGGGUUAUUUUCGGUGUUAGUGUUUUGGAUGCGGUUCAAAAUUACACUUUUCCAGACGCAUUCUUAGCAGUAAUUUCGUUACGAGUUGAAAAUAAUUCUCGAAAAAAACGUUCCCCUCUCGGUUUAUCGAUGUGCUUUGCGGGUAAAGCUUUAAUUAAUGUGUGAUUUGCGCUGAGUAAUUGGCUGAAAAGUGAAUAAUUUAGGAAUCUAGUGCGACAAAAGAAUUAUGUUAGGUUUUUUGAGAGAUUAUUUCGUUUACAUCUGGAGUUUCUUUUUUAAACAGGAACAAGUUCCUUCUGCUGCUUUAGCGGAAUCGAAUCAGUACUCUGAAUCUACCAGCUAUCCUAUCGGUCCAGCUCGUACGAUCGGUACAGAAUAUUCCAAGGAACGUGAAGAGCCAAAAAGUCAACCUGCACCAGCUCCUCGAGAUCCGUCUCCGAAACCAGAACCAAAACCAGUCGAAAAACCGACUCCUGUUCCUGAACCAAAACAGGCACUGGUAGCUGACCAUAAACCAGUAGAAAAACCAACCCCAGCUCCAGAAGUUAAACCUGCACCAGUCCCGAAACCGGUUCCAGAACCGCCUAAGGUACCUUCUGCAGCUCCAGAACCACCCAAGGCAUCCCCUCCAGCUCCAGCACCGCCGAAAACAUCCGCUCCAGUUCCAGAACCAGCCAAGGUAUCAGCUCCAGAGCCACCCAAGGCACCAGCUUCAAUUCCAGAACCAGUUAAAGUACCUCCUCCAGUACCGGAAUCAAAACCAUCUCAAGGCUCUAGCCCUGCACCGAAACCUACCCCAGUUCAGGAACCAGUAUCGCCUACAGCUCCAGCGAAACCUGCUCCCAUUCCAGCUCCGACUGAAAAGCCUGUCACACGUGAUGAGCCUUUGGUAAAACCCAUUCAACCACCGCAGACGCAAAAAGAGCAAAACAAAUCGUUCAUCGAAUCUGAGAAAUCCGCUGCCCAGGUUCCAAAACACGAAAGUGAAAGCGAAGAAGAAAUCAUCGAAUACGAAGAGGAAAUCGAAGUGAGUGACGACGAAGAUCUACAAAAAAUUCAAAGUCGUUUACAAUCCGCACAGAAACACCCGAUCGCUCCAGCCCGUGUCCAAGAUUACGACUCUGAAGAAGAAGUAGAAAUACAAAGUGAAGACGAACAAUAAUGGCUGCUCAAGAAGAUACCUCCAAAGCUCUGGUAACACUACCGCCAGAUAUGCCAGCGUUACCAGAUCUCAAAGGUAAAUUGGGCGGAGCAACUAUAAAGGCUAGUGAAGAACAAUCAACCGUUAAAGAAAUGCAUAAAGAGGUUUCAAAAAACGAGGGCGAUAAACACAUCGAACAAAAAGCUUCCAAGGUUCAAAAACAGGAUAGUACUAAAAGUGCCCAAGCUUCCAUAAAAACUACGAAUGAAGGCGGAGUACGACGAACAGUAGCUACAACUGUAGUCACAUCCAGUAGUUCAUUUGAAGAGGAAGAAACUAUGGAACAAACCGUUACAUCUGCACCUACAGUAACAAAAUGUAUAGUUCAAAAAUAGAUUAUUAUUAUUAUCAUUAUUGUGUAUAAAUUUGCUAUAUUAUAAAAUAUAACAUUUAUUUGCUGAUUAAAAA